GGGAUCCUACGGGACGCAGCAGUGAGGAAUAUUGGUCAAUGGGCGGAAGCCUGAACCAGCCAAGUCGCGUGAGGGAAUAAGGCCCUACGGGUCGUAAACCUCUUUUGCCGGGGAGCAAGGGCGGGGACGUGUCCCGGCCCGGAGAGUGCCCGGAGAAAAAGCAUCGGCUAACUCCGUGCCAGCAGCCGCGGUAAUACGGAGGAUGCGAGCGUUAUCCGGAUUUAUUGGGUUUAAAGGGAGCGUAGAUGGGUUGUUAAGUCAGUUGUGAAAGCUUGCGGCUCAACCGUAAAAUUGCAAUUGAUACU
rnacentral:rRNA from 1 species